UGUCUUUCUUUAUUUGGUCGCUUCAUUUGCUCCGCCAACGUGCGGCUCUUCUGCUUUUAUUGCUGCGGCUGCCAUUCUCAUCGUCUGCUCCUGCUGCUUUCUAUCCACGUGCAUAAUUUUUCGUAUUCUCUGCAGUUUAAAACUUUAUUUCUGUGCCUGUGAAUGUUCCGGCAAUGUCGGAAAACCUGAGGAAAGGAUACAAGGCUUGCUGCGCGGCUGUGGGAUGUAGCGACUCGGGGAGCAACACAAGGCCGAAAUUUUUGCGUUUCCCACCGGACGAGAGUUUGUCUGGGAAGGCCAUUCCAGUCUCGGCAGUUCGGAUGGAGAAUGACUGCAGGAACGUAGUGGUGCGGGCUUGUGGUGGGAUUACCGAGUUCGGAUGGCCUGUUCGACGAACACGAUGAGCCAGCUGGACCAGCUGGCUGUUACGAGUACCCCAUUGUGACCGCCGUAGGCGCUACCAGGCAAACCGCAGCUGCUGCCUGGAGGCGUUUAUUGUAAG